AGCGCUGGGGCGAAACCGAACGAGAGCGCGGGCGAUGGAGCCGAAGCUCAGCCUGGAGCAGCGAACGGAGCGUCUGGUGCAAAGGAGCCAGGCAUUGCUCAGGCCCCGCCCCCGCGGGCCGGAGAGGGCGAAGCCUCUGCUUGGCUCCGCCCCCUGCAGCUCCACCCUCGAGGACCCCCUUGUCCAAUGGCGCUUGAGGCGGUGCCGAGGGGAGGAGCCAGCGCUGGACACGCCCCUGGUGGGCAGGGCCCGGCUGGGCUCUGCUGCUCCGCGGGGUUCCCUGCAGGGGGCGCCACCGGGGAAAUCACGUGAUUCCCGCGGGGCCCUGCAGGGGGCGGUGCCCUGGCAGUCACGUGACCCACCUGAGGCACCACGGCCAAUCGGGAGACGCUUCUGCCCGCACCAGGGGCUGUCUUCACCCCUGCCUGUCUCCCCGGAACCCUUGUGGCAGGAGCCCUGCUGGAGGCCACAUGACUCCCACAAAACCCUCUGGCCGACGAGGAGCAGCUCUCUGGAUACCCUGCAGGGGGCAGGGUACUCACAGUCAGCCCGCGCGGCCCCGCGGGGGGAGCCGGGACUGCGGCUCCCAUCAUGCCCCGCGGCCCCGACAGUCCCGCCGGAGCCGGGAGUGUCCCCUGAGGAGCGUCCCAGCUGCUCCCCAGGUGCUCUCCGGCUGCCGCCCCGGCCCCUAAGUGCUCCUCCGGACCUUUUCAAUGAUCCCGCAAGCACCCCCAGCUCGCCUCCAAGCGCCCCUCGAGUGUCUCCUGGGAACUGGCGUGAUGACCACAAUGUAGAGAAAGGCCCUGACCCUGUCGCAGUUCCAGCAGCAGUUCAGCCUGUGAAAAACGCCAGUCACUUGUUUUUAAGAUUUUUAAAAGUUUAUUCGUAAUAAAAUGGUUUUAAAAAUAGUAAUGUAAUUAGAGUAAUAAAAAUUUGAACAACUGAGGUUAGGACAAUACGAGACAAUAAGAACAAAGAGCUGCGGACGGUCUGAGUACCUUUUUCUGGGCAAAAUAAGCCCGAAAGAGGACACCCGUUAACAGAGGGUUAACCCUUAAAAACAAUGGACUGUUGCAUAUUCAUACACCUCAUACAUGAUGCAUAAAUUCCAUUCAAACAACGGAUUCUGUAUCAGCUUCUUCCUCUUGAUCCUAAACGGCAUCUUCAUGGCUGAGCGAGGCGGGAAGAAGUUAGUUUCUUCUGAUAAUGGAGCCAUAAAUUCUUUUGCUCUGAAAGAUUUUAGGUGUCCUGUGGCUGCUGUCUGGUGGCUGCAGGAAAGACUCUGCUCUGGCACCUGCAGCACCUCCUCACCUGGGGAGCUGCUCAAGGAGGAACGACAAUGGCAAUGAAAGGACUUGGGACCAAAGGAGGCAUCAGCAGAGCGAGAAACAUUUCUGAAGCUCAUGCUGGUGUCAGGUGAACUCAAACAGGAUAUUGGGUCGGUUUGGUUUGAAACAGAAAGUGAAUUUUAGAGUAAAUCAUGGAUUUACUCCUGUGUCAGGGAAUUGUCUGGAACAUGGAUUUGCUGCUUCAAAAUGUUUUAGUCUCCAUAAUUUGUCUGGGCUGUGUUAUGCAAGAGGUCAUUGUUCCACCUUUUAUAAAUAAAGAGAUUAUGAUGAUGCUA